rnacentral:rRNA from 1 species
CGGCGAGUGAAGCGGGAAGAGCUCAAGCUUAAAAUCUCCGUGCAAGUUUUGUGCGGCGAAUUGUAGUCUAUAGAGGCGUGGUCAGCGUGGGCGCUUGGGGCAAGUUCCUUGGAAGAGGACAGCAUGGAGGGUGAUACUCCCGUUCAUCCCUGAGUGGCUCGUGCGUACGACCCGUUUUCUUUGAGUCGCGUUGUUUGGGAAUGCAGCGCAAAGUAGGUGGUAAAUUCCAUCUAAAGCUAAAUAUUGGUGCGAGACCGAUAGCGAACAAGUACCGUGAGGGAAAGAUGAAAAGAACUUUGAAAAGAGAGUUAAAGAGUACCUGAAACUGCUGAAAGGGAACCGAAUCGUUUCCAGUGUCUAUAAUCUGUGGCAUAUUUCAUUGGCGAGCGUUUGCGUGCGUGUGCUGUGGCAGUGGCUUUUUUGGCUGCGCCUGGUGUGUGUGGUGUGAGUGUUUGCUGGUGCCCUGUGCUGCGGUGGGACGUCAAGGUCAGUUCGUAUGCUGCGGGAAAUGGCUGCCGAGGAGGUAGGGCUUACGCUCCGCGUUUGUCUGUUAUAUCUUGGUGGACGAGUCGUCGCGGUUGGGACUGAGGUGCCUACAYACGUGCUUUUGAGUGGGUUUGUGUCUCCGUGUGCGCCGUGUGCGGAUAGCUUGCUAUGCGUGUGUGGUUGUGUGUGGAUUGAUGCGGGCCUUAACUUGUCGCCGUUUCGGGACGUUGACGAA